UAAUACAUGCAAGUCGAACGAAGUAGCAAUACUUAGUGGCAGACGGGUGAGUAACAUGUAGGUAUCUACCCUUUGGCCUGGAAUAACACGAGGAAACUUGUGCUAAUACCGGAUAAGUCUUUACGGAGAAAGCUUUAUGCACCAUUGGAUGAGCCUGCACUUGAUUAGUUUGUUGGUGGGGUAAUGGCCUACCAAGACUGUGAUCAAUAGCUGAUUUGAGAGGAUGAUCAGCCACAUUGGGACUGAGACACGGCCCAAACUCCUACGGGAGGCAGCAGUAGGGAAUCUUGCACAAUGGAGGAAACUCUGAUGCAGCGAUGCCGCGUGAGUGAAGAAGGCCUUUGGGUUGUAAAGCUCUUUCGUCGGGGAAGAAAAUGACUGUACCCGAAUAAGAAGGUCCGGCUAACUUCGUGCCAGCAGCCGCGGUAAUACGAAGGGACCUAGCGUAGUUCGGAAUUACUGGGCUUAAAGAGUUCGUAGGUGGUUAAAAAAGUUGGUGGUGAAAGCCCAGAGCUUAACUCUGGAACUGCCAUCAAAACUUUUUAGCUAGAGUAUGAUAGAGGAAAGCAGAAUUUCUAGUGUAGAGGUGAAAUUCGUAGAUAUUAGAAAGAAUACCGAUUGCGAAGGCGGCUUUCUGGAUCAUUACUGACACUGAGGAACGAAAGCAUGGGUAGCGAAGAGGAUUAGAUACCCUCGUAGUCCAUGCCGUAAACGAUGUGUGUUAGACGUUGGAAAUUUAUUUUCAGUGUCGCAGCGAAAGCGAUAAACACACCGCCUGGGGAGUACGACCGCAAGGUUAAAACUCAAAUGAAUUGACGGGGACCCGCACAAGUAGUGGAGCAUGUGGUUUAAUUCGAAGAUACGCGCAGAACCUUACCAACACUUGACAUGUUCGUCGCGACUCUAAGAGAUUAGAGUUUUCGGUUCGGCCGACGAAACACAGGUGCUGCAUGGCGUCGUCAGCUCGUGUCGUGAGAUGUUGGGUUAAGUCCCGCAACGAGCGCAACCCUCACUUUUAGUUGCCAUCAUUAAGUUGGGCACUCUGAAAGAACUGCCAGUGAUAAGCUGGAGGAAGGUGGGGAUGACGUCAAGUCCUCAUGGCCCUUACGUGUUGGGCUACACACGUGCUACAAUGGCGUCUACAACAGGAAGCAAAACGGCAACGUUAAGCAAAUCCCAAAAAGAUGCCUCAGUUCGGAUUGCACUCUGCAACUCGAGUGCAUGAAGCCGGAAUUACUAGUAAUCGUGGAUCAGCGUGCCACGGUGAAUGCGUUCCCGGGUCUUGUACACACCGCCCGUCACACCAUGGGAGUUGGUUCUACCUUAAGGCAAGGUUUUAAACCCUUGACCACGGUAUAGUCAGCGACUGGGGUG
rnacentral:rRNA from 1 species